rnacentral:lncRNA from 1 species
UAGUCCACCAAAAAAAAACCCAAACAAUUUAAUCCUGAAAAUCUCCUUUCCAGGAACCAGUUACCGCCACUCAAACAGAAAACUCAGUUUGUGCUAUGGCCGUGAGACUAUUGUCAACUCCAACUGCUCUGUCUCACCCAACAAAGCUCUCCUUCUUCUCAUCACCCAAACCCAUAUCAACAGCAACCUCCUUCUUUCAAUGGAGAUCCAAGUGCAGAGUUUUUACAAGGAAAAUGGUGGUAAAGGCAUGUGUUAAGGUGGAAGAAAAGAAUGUGAAAGAAACUAGUAAACAAGAAUGGGGC